rnacentral:tRNA from 1 species
GCAUGUAGCUCAGUGGUAGAGUGCGUAUUAGGCAUGCACAAGGUCCUGGGUUCAACCUCCAGCAUAAAACA